ACGCCAGCGCUAUUGGGGCCCACUGUGGGGUGGACAAGACUCUUCAUGCUAUCCUCCAGAGGUACUACUGGCCAGGUAUGAAGGCAGAUAUCACAAAAUGGAUUUCCCAGUGUGAUGCAUGUCAGAAAAAGAGGGCCUGUUUAAAAGAGAAGGCCCAGUACAAACCAAUACAGGUGUCAGAGCCUUUCGAACUGGUUGGGAUGGACCUGGUAGGCACACUUAAGUGUACCAA